AGGAGUAUUUCAGGUUAGCUCUCCACUGGAUCCCAUCAGAACUCCGUAGUAAUGCAUGCUUGGGCGAUAGUAGUACUAGGAUGGGUGACCUCCCGGGAAGUACUCGUGUUGUACUUU
rnacentral:rRNA from 1 species